GCCUGGGUGGCUCAGUUGGUUGAGCAUCUGACUUCAGCUCAGGUCAUGAUCUCGUGGUUCAUGGGUUUGAGCCCCGUGUCGGACU
rnacentral:tRNA from 1 species